rnacentral:misc_RNA from 1 species
UCCGGUUUGGCACCGGCAGUCUCACUAGAGUGCCCGGCAUGACCCGCUGGUAACUAGUGACAAGGGUUGCGCUCGUUGCGGGACUUAACCCAACAUCUCACGACACGAGCUGACGACAGCCAUGCAGCACCUGUGCGGCCGCCCCGAAGGGCGCCCGAGGUUUCCCCCGGGCUCCGGCCGCAUGUCAAGCCUAGGUAAGGUUCUUCGCGUUGCGUCGAAUUAAACCACAUGCUCCACCGCUUGUGCGGGCCCCCGUCAAUUCCUUUGAGUUUCAGCCUUGCGGCCGUACUCCCCAGGCGGGGCACUUAAUGCGUUAGCGCCGGCCCUCACGGGGUCGCUCCCCCAAGGACCUAGUGCCCAUCGUUUACGGCGUGGACUAC